AUGUUUCUGUUUGAAUACACACAUUUAGUGUGUGUGUGUGUGUGUGUGUGUGUGUGUAGAAUGAGUUUGUGGAGAGGGAAGAACAUGACCACAGAAUCACCAGCAGGAUCAACCUGGUGGACUUGGCCGGCAGCGAGCGCUGCUCCUCAGCCCAGACCGGCGGUGACCGCCUCAUGGCUGCUGAAGGAGAGCCUGGGCGGCCAUGAUCGCCACCCUGAGCCCGCCGGGCAGCAACGUGGAGGAGAGCCUGAGCCCAGCGGUCACAGCAACGUGGAGGAGAGCCUGAGCCCGGCGGUCACAGCAACGUGGAGGAGAGCCUGGGCGGAAACUCCAAGACGGCCAUGAUCGCCACCCUGAGCCCAGCCGGCAGCAACGUGGAGGAGAGCCUGGGCGGAAACUCCAAGACGGCCAUGAUCGCCACCCUGAGCCCAGCGGGCAGCAACGUGGAGGAGAGCCUGGGCGGAAACUCCAAGACGGCCAUGAUCGCCACCCUGAGCCCAGCGGGCAGCAAUGUGGAGGAGAGCCUGAGCCCGGCGGGUCAGCAACGUGGAGGAGAGCCUGAGCCCGGCGGUCACAGCAACGUGGAGGAGAGCCUGAGCCCAGCGGGUCAGCAACGUGGAGGAGAGCCUGAGCCCGGCGGGUCAGCAACGUGGAGGAGAGCCUGAGCACGCUGCGGUACGCCAAGCAGGCCUGCAGGAUCAUCAACGUGGCCAAGGUCAACGAGGACACCAACGCCAAGCUCAUCAGAGGUCAGCCCCUCAUCCCUCGCCCUCCCAUACUGCCACCAAUCUCUCUCUCUUUUUCUCAUCCAUCCAUCACCAGGUUCAGUUAACUAGCCAUCUCAACUGUCAUGAAAGUAUUAUUCAAAGGAAAUUGCUACUCCACAUUUCCUGUUCUUUUGGCGCUAGGGGGAGCUCUUGCAAAGGCUCUAUUUUACACGGGAAGAGGAAACAGUGCAGAGGUUGUGACCAUCUUAACUGAAGAGCCAGCUGACGCAGCAGGAGAGGGAGAUGGCCGAGGCCCACAGGUGACAACCGUAAAAUCUGCACACAUCUUGUCCCAGAGAGGCUCUGUGGCAAAAAAUACUACAACUGUUUUUAGUUCAACUUGAAUCUGAUUCCUUCACCUCUUGUCAGAGUGUGGAGAGAGAAGCUGGAGCAGGCAGAGAAACACAAACGUGAGGAAACCAAAGAAUUACAGGUCAGCUUAUAACCUAACUAAAAGCGACCGUUAUCUUCAAAACCAGUGUUUCACUCUACUGUAUCGACCUACCUUCCACAUUCCUUUGGCACAUUUCAGAAUAUCAUUUCCCCUCCUAAAUUCAUCUGCUUUACCUCUCUUCUCCUCAUCACGUUUGCUGUGGACAACCGACUACCCAACUUGGUGAACCUGAACGAGGACCCACAGCUGUCGGAGAUGCUGUUAUACAUGAUUUAAGGAGGGACAGACCAAGGUCGGCCAGCACAAGUCUGAGUCCCCCCACGACAUCCAGCUGUCUGGGGCCCUUAUCGCCGACCACCACUGGUGAGAAGGACUGACCCACCACCACCUCAAAAACCA
rnacentral:lncRNA from 1 species